rnacentral:lncRNA from 1 species
UUCUAAAUUAAUUUUUUUCCUCUUUGAAAUAUUAGUUGUUGUACAUCAACUGAAGUUGCAAUAAUUUUGGCUUAUAUACGUUUUCAGUUCUAAUUGGGUUUCUGAAUUCUGGGUAUGCAGUUGCCUAUUUAUGAGAUACCCUCCUUUCCAUAGAUAUUCGGAAUUAGGUUGCCAUCAUAUCCCAAUUACUAUGGACUGGAAUGUUGUGAGUUUGGAAUGAGAAUAUUCAUCAACCUUAUUCUUAGUUUCUUGUAGUUCUCUAGGUGCUCUUAUUGUAUUUAACAUAUAUGCAAGCAUCUUCUCUUGGUCUGAGCAUAGAUUUUACCUUACCUCUAUUGCAAUUGCUGCUCUAAAUGCCAUCAAAUCUAGCUGGAGUAACUGGCCCCCAGACUGGAAAGAAUCGGAUCCUUGUGGUUGGGAAGGGAUUAAUUGCACCGAUUCACGCGUGACCUCCAUGUAACUCUUGGAAAUUCCCCAUCCUAAUGAUUCCCUAGUUCAUUUAUUUUUCCUUGUUUUUGAAUCUGAUAGAAUUGCUUCAAUUGCAGAAUGUUGGUAGGCACGAGGGUGGAAGGUAGUGACUUCAGUGACGUUUGUUUAGGAUUUAGGAUUUGACUGAAUUCUUGUUUAUAGUUUGGAAUUUACUGUUUUGGUAGUAUCUAAGGCUUUUUAUUUUUGUUGUGCACCUAAAACUUUAGCAAUAGCUUUUGUAACUGAUUAUUUGGUUUUAUUCUAUGUUACUUAUGUUCCCUAUCUUAUUUGGACUUAUAGGCACAGCUCAGCUGGAGUGUUGGCAGGAGGCAAAACCAUGUGAAUUUUGUAAUAAAGCAAUAGAAGAAUCGUCUAGAAGGAAAUAAUUAGAAUUUUGCUUGUUUAGCGAGUUGGUUUAUUCUGCAUUUAUCUGUGUAAAUUAGUUAGGGUCUUAGGGAGAGAUUCUUUUUCUUCAUUUGCUGUUUAUAUUUCCACUACUGUGUAUUCUUUUCUUCAUUGAA